GGGCUAAAAAUAAAUGAAACAGAUGGAAAACAAAUACAUUUUUUGUCAUUCUUAGAAUAUAAAGUGUUAUAGUAAACUCGUAACUCGACCAGAAGUGAGGUAUAAGUCAGAUGUACCCACACUUCCUCGGCUAGCGCCUCGGAGGCCACAUGACUCAAACAGUAGGGGUAUUGAGCGACACACCUCGGAAAGUGUGGGUAUAUCUAAUACACGUCAGAGUUAUAUUGCUUUAUGGUGUCACUGAUAAUACUCUAAUUGUUUUUUUAGAGAAACCUGCAGUGCGCCAUUGCACUGUAUUAUGCAAUAUCUAUUCCGUGGCUAAAUCAAGAGACACGUCAGCAUUAUAUUGGUUAUGUUUAUGCUGAUGUCAUCGUGCGAAUUACUUAUAGCCCCACAAUAUCCGGAACUGCAUUACGUCUUGGAAGGUAGCUUCGCAAGUACGAGCUCCGUUCACAGAUUCCUGCCUUACACUAACGUUUCGAGAAUGGCGAACUGUUCUGCGGAAACUAGGCGACACAUCAAAGCCCUGAUCGACAUCCCAGGCAUUCCAUGGGGAAAAUGGCCUCCACAAGAGCAUCCAAUAUCAGGAAUCUACAUUAUCAAAGAGCGUGAAGUGGGGAAUUUACCAGCAAACCACGUUAACACGGUUGAAUAUGUGAUCUACGUGGGGAGAUCCAGCGAUAUAAAAAAGAGUCUGAUUUCACAUUCUUUCGGAGGCAAGCAAGAUAUCGACAUACAUAUUGCUGUUACCCCCUGAAGAGAACAAGUUCUGCUUCAACAUUGUGCCUGACUCCGACCUAAGUGAGGACUGUUAUAUAGACCACAUUACUCAGUUGCAAGGUCGGCGGCCGAGGUUCAACUAGACAAGAGGAGAUGCGUGUGCCCCAUGUCAGAGCAGAUAAAUCUUGUGACAAGGAAUCAAUAAUGUCAUGAAUCACUUAAACCUGACUUAAACCUGACUCACCUGUAGCUGACUGCGUAAUGUGUAUAAAAAUCUGAGCUUUGUGUUAAUCUGGCCCACAUUCAUUCACGAUUUGAUAUGAUCAGAACAGAAGAGAAAUAAACAUGAUGACAUUGUAAA